AAAAUGUCCUUCACUAUCUACUGAAGCACCCAAUCUCCUCUCGUUUGGAAGCUAAGCAGGGUAGAGUCUGGUUAAUAAUUGCCUGGGAAAAUGUCCUUCACUGAAAAAAUUGCAAGUAGCACAUUUUA
ensembl:rRNA 5S_rRNA 5S ribosomal RNA